CCGUAGGUGGCAGCAGAACGCCGAAAGGCCUGUAGAUCACCAGUAACUAAUAAAAGAAGAAGUAGCUCAUCGUGCAUCAGCAUGGACCCGUGGACGUAUCAUAGAACCACCAGAGGUUGUAGUUCCGUCUAACUUCAUGAAGGCGUUGGUUCUCGGAUGGAAGCGGAACACUGCCUACCUGCCGACUACAAAGGUUGGACAAUGAAGGGUAAAUCCAAGGUAAUAAAGCAAUUGGAGUUGGCUGGUAUUUCACCAUGUCCACGCUACACUGAUGUAGUAUGGACAGUACAAGGAAGCUGGCUGCAUGGUCGACUGGUGGAUAUGUGAACUAGCUCCACAAACCUGGACUUCGGCCAGUUUGUCCAAUGGAGGCCAUUGUUGAGACAUGGGAGUUGAUGCUGCGGUGAGAUCUUCCCAGUUUGAAAACCAUCCACAUUUGUUGGUGUCUUGGCGCUGGUGUCCAGAGACUACUUCUACUCCAACCAAGAUUCUGGUCAUGUGGAUGUUCGGGAUGGUCACGUAAACCAUAACGUCACACGCUGCCUCAAUCCCGUGGCCAUGGCAGAUGUUUCUUAAAUGUCUGCCAUGGGCCUUCACUAAUGUGUGGGGACGGUGCUGACUCUGUUCCAUUAACGCAGGACCUAGACUUGUCCUGUGACUGGCGUCCUCAAACCCAGUUCUGGGUCAUCUUGGGUCUCAGUUGGAAGAGGAACACUGCCUUACUGCUCACUACAAAGGUUGUGCAAUGAAGGCUAAAAUCCGAGUAUGGACAGAAAAAGGUUGAUGGCUGCAUAGUUGACUGGUGGAAAUGUGAACUAGCUUCACAAACCUGGACUUUGGCCAGUUAGUCCAAUGGAGGCCAUUGUUGAGACAUGGGACUUGGUGCUGCGGUGAGAUCGUCCAAGUUUAAAACCGCCCACAUUUGAAGGUGUCUUGGCGGUGGUGUUCAGAAACGAUUUCUACUCCAACCAAGUCCAGAACAGCCACGUGAUAUGAGCUGUUAGGGCCAGGGUUUCCGUUGUCCGUUGAUGGGACAUUUUUAUGUCAGACAAAAUUGUAUCUCUACGGUCAAAUUGGCCGAUGGAAAUGAGCCAAUAAUCAGUCUAAACAAUCGUCUGCUGACACCGCUCCUCUUAUCGAUGCCGUAAGUCUGCGAUGAGAUGCCC
ensembl:lncRNA